UUUCAUUCCUUUUAUUGGUAUGUGGAUCUGUGAUUUCUGUGCCUUCAAUCUUCUAAUAUGUAAAUCCUGCCCUGGGAAAAACUCUUCAAACAGACAGACUUCUAUCAUAAUACAGGAAGACAGGAAGUGAGCUGGGUGGGAACCAGAGGGGUGGUGAACUUCCACCUCUCACUUCCUGUAAGGCCUAGUCUGAAAAGGAAAGCAUGGUAUGGUGGAGACUCUCUGUAUUCUCCUGGAUUAAAGAUGGGCCGCCAGCCGCUGUCAAAGCACCUGACCAAGACUGACAACUGGUGAAUGGAAAACCGGAAUAAGCACUUGGAAGAAGAAAACCGACAACUGAGACAACUUGCCUUUGAUUUGCCUGGCGUAAUGGAUACUUUGAAAACCACAAGAGCGC